UUUAAUUUUGGAAACGAUGAAUCACAACUGAAGAAAAAUAAAACUAAACAAAAAGGAGGGCGUCUUACAAAGUAUCUACUGAACCUCUGAGUCUUAGUGAAAGGAAAUUUAAUCGCCAUAUUCACCCCUCCUUUCUUUUACAAACCGCAUUCACCCAAGGGGGGGGGGAAACUCAGUCGCGUGACGUCACCUCUUCCGCUUCUGCAGCUGCUGGAAUGUUCUCGAAAAAAGUGUCGACAAGAAGUCAGUGUGAGAACAGGUUUGGUGCAGCAGAAGACGAAGCGCGGGCGAUGAAAGGAGACAAAAAUGGUUCUCUGCUGCAAAAUGAAUAUGGCUGUGCUGUUUGUGGGCUGUCUUUCUGAAAAUCUCUUCAUCCCUUUACAAAAUAGUAUUCAGCUACUGUUUGGUCCAUAGGAACCUCAACUCAGACAAGACCAAAACUCCACAGCAGCAUCCAAAGGAAGUGGCGCCACUGCCUGGUAGAUCCUGACAGACUCGGACAGCAACAGAAAAAUGAAAAUACAUCUGAUUGGGUUGAAGCCACAAAACAAAUGUAAGCUGGUGCCAGUAAACAAACACCUUAUUUGUGCAAAUUCGGAAUUGCAAUGGCAGCAUUUGAAUUAUAGACCAGAGCCCCUUGAGUUGGUAGUAACAAUUAAAAAGUACAUUUCAAAAAACACUCUGGUGUAAAGGACACCAAACCAUUUGACUUUAUCAGUGCUACUUGUAUAAACUAAAGUUCUUUGAGUGAUAACUAGACAGUUUCUGUCCUUUGUCACAGUGUUUUUAGCACAACUGCCUUGCGAGAAGACAAAAGAACUGUCCUAACAGUGGCCUUGGGUAAGAAUAAUAGAAAGGACUGGCACUAAACAGGAGUAUUAUUUUAAAGCCAAAAGUGACCUCCACAGUUUAGAACCAUUUUUGUUUCAAACCAGAGGAGACCCAGAAAACAUAAAAAGAUCCUUGCCAGCAGUGCCUCAAAAGGACAGUAAUUAAAUUGUCAAAUAAGUAAUUUGAGGACACACUUGAAACACAAUCUCACUGAUAUUUUACUCAGUUAAUGCCCUUGCUUUGUUGCUGGCGUCACAGUUCACAUCCAUGUGUCUAAGUUUUUAAAAUGUUGCAUUGUAUUGGAAAUUUAUUUUUCAAAGCAGCUGCAAUUUGUAGCCUUUAAAUUACUAGUUAGUUAUAGACUACCCUCAGGUUUUAAAAUACAGGAAAUACUCUAUACUUCUGCACAUUCCAUCUACAGGCUAAAACAAAUCCAGAACAGCACCUUAACACAAAAAUGGAUUGAGAGCCCUUUUUGUCAGUAAUCACUGAAGCAGCCAUGCUAUAGAUUAGCGCAGAGAACUACCAAUUGUCUGCGGCAGACAGCAGCAUUUACACUGAGGUUUCACUUUAGGUUAAAGCCUUCACUUCCCAUGAGCCUACAGGAGCAGACCAAAGGAAACGGA